GCAAACAACCACCCUGAACAAACCCGAUCCCAUCUGAUCUCGUAAGCUAAGCAGGGUCAGGCCUGGUUGGUACUUGGAUAGGAGACCACCUAGGAAGACCAGGUGCUGUAGGCU
rnacentral:rRNA from 1 species